GAGCCUGUAGCUAGUGGUUACAAGGGCCUUAAUAGCACCUAAGGUCUUAGGUUCGACUCCUGGUUAGGAGUGAAUUUUCCCAGUGUUAGCUCCAACCAGGAGUGAAUAAGGGACUAGGAUUCAGAGAUGCUCAUAGGGGUAGGGUUUGCGUGCGUGCGUGUGGUUGUGAGCGUCUGCGUUGUAAUGUGUUCUCUAAAAAAAAGGAUUUUGUAGCAGUGAAGUUAAGUAGCACAUUCCAUUAAAUUAAAUAGAAAAACAUUUUAUUGAACGAAAAGACG
rnacentral:lncRNA from 1 species